rnacentral:misc_RNA from 1 species
AGAGCCACGUAAGCGCAUACACGUUUGUGCAAGAAGAAAGCAGCGAAAAACGAAAACCGAAGAGAGGUGCACCGCGUUACAGUCUGCCCAUCCGCACAUCCCUCUUCAACACAUCAGCCCUUGCGUCUGCGCUCCAGAUAUGCCGCCGAAGAACCAGCGUAACGCACCUGUGGUGAUCCCGGAGGAAGAUGACGAGGGUGACAUGAUGGAGAUGGACAACAUGCUGGACUUCCAGAAGUACCUCGACUCCGACUUCUCGAAGAAUUUCAUGGCAGGCCUGCCGGAGAAGAUCCGUCAGCGGGCGCAGGUUCUCUCCGCCUACGACAAGGACUUCUCCGCGCAGCAAAAGGCGUACAAGGUGAAGGAGAUGGACAUCCUGCGCCGCUACGACGCCCUCUUCGAGCCGCUGCUGCAGCGUCGCAAGGAAAUCGUCACGGGGGCCGCGGUCUCCGAUGAGGAGGUGAAGAAGGGCAUGCCGGAGGAGCACGUCAAUGUGAUAUCGGUGGAAGUAGAUGACACGGACGAGGCCGCCACGGCCGCCGACGCGUUUGGCCUGGAGGGCUUCUGGCUGCGCGUGCUGCGUCACCACACGGUGAUCGACAGCACGAUUGAGCCGCACGACGAGGACGUUCUGAAGCACCUCGUCGAUAUUCGGUCUUCUGUCGCGGAAGGGGAAUACGGUAGCUUCCAGGUGAUUUUCACCUUCUCGCCGAACGACUUCUUCGAGGAGGAAACCAUCACCGCCACGGUCAGCAUCAAGGAUGACAAGCCGGAGCUGACGGUGUCGCCCAUCACGUGGAAGCCGGGCAAGAACGUCAUGAUGCACACCGUCACAAAGAAGCAGCGGGCGAAGCGCACGGGGCAGGUGCGCACCACCACGCGCGACGUGCCGCAGCUCUCAUUCUUUUGGCUAUUCAAGAAGAAGACCGAAGCCGUCGGAGAUGACGACGGCGAGGAGGACGGCGAGGAGGACGACGAGGAGCAGCGCAUAAGCAUGCUCGAGGUGCUGCACACGUGUAUCGUGCCAAAUGCCGUGCGCUACUACACCGGCGAGGCCCCUAACGGCUUCAGCGAUGUCGACGAGGAGGACGAGGAGGACGAAGAGGAGGAAGAAGAGGAAGAGGAGAUCAUCCCGCGCGGCCGCGGCGGCAACCGUGGCGGCCGUGGUGGCCGCGGUGGCCGUGGCAUCUAAGCGGCUGUGACAAGAUCAAACGAAAAAAGAUGGGGGGAGUAGGGUGCAGCUGUGUGUGGGCGAGCUAGAGGGAGCGAUGCGCGCACCAAUGCCGGUGCACAUGUGCGCUGCUCGGAUGUCAGUGUGCGUCUAGUGUCGACGUCCCCCACCCUCCUCUCCCCUCUCAUCCCGCACGCGUACGUGUGUAUGCCUGUCUGAACCGCAGAGAAUGUUUCGAGGCAUGACCAGCUCACACAGGAGCUACAGCAUGCGGCAGCAUAUGAUUCAAUGACGCGCAUGCAUGCAAAAGAGGAGCAAUGGAGAGGGUGGAGGAGAUGUCGCUUAAUGCUGUGCUGUUAAUCUAAGAGAGCGCGAGGGCGUGUGCGUUGGAAGGUGCGACACUUCUGUGUGUGCCGAUCUGCGUCUCUCUUGCCCUCUCGCUCUCCUCCUCUCCUUCAGCGUCGCAAUGGGGCGCUUUGCCGUCUCCGGCCUGCCCUCUUCCAUGUCCACUUGCCCUCCCCACACGCACACACGCUCGCGUGCCUUUAUGACUCCCCUGCAAAGGGGAGGGGGCGAGUCUCCGUCGCCCUCGUCGCCAUUCCAUCGAGCUUGUUGUUGUUGUUGUUCGUGCCUCCUCGCUUGCUUCUCGGUCUCUUUCUCUGUUUCCUGUUCGCCUCUAACUUGACACCGUUAAAGCAGAAACAAGCGAAGAUCCACCCCAGCAC